GGAUAGCUCAACUUGGUAGAACAUAAGACUCUUAAUCUCACAGUCAUGGGUUUGAGCCCCAUAAUAAGCA